rnacentral:rRNA from 1 species
CGGGAAGAGCUCAAAUUUGUAAUCUGGCCGUUUUGCGGUCCGAGUUGUAAUCUGGAGAAGUGCUUUCCGCGCUGGACCGUGUACAAGUCCCUUGGAACAGGGCGUCAUAGAGGGUGAGAAUCCCGUCUCUGACACGGACGACCAGUGCUCUGUGAUGCGCUCUCGAA